AACGAACGCUGGCGGCAGGCCUAACACAUGCAAGUCGAGCGCUCCGCAAGGGGAGCGGCAGACGGGUGAGUAACGCGUGGGAAUCUACCCAUCUCUACGGAAUAACGCAUGGAAACGUGUGCUAAUACCGUAUACGUCCUUCGGGAGAAAGAUUUAUCGGAGAUGGAUGAGCCCGCGUUGGCUUAGCUAGUUGGUGGGGUAAAGGCCUACCAAGGCGACGAUCCAUAGCUGGUCUGAGAGGAUGAUCAGCCACACUGGGACUGAGACACGGCCCAGACUCCUACGGGAGGCAGCAGUGGGGAAUAUUGGACAAUGGGCGCAAGCCUGAUCCAGCCAUGCCGCGUGAGUGAUGAAGGCCCUAGGGUUGUAAAGCUCUUUCACCGGUGAAGAUAAUGACGGUAACCGGAGAAGAAGCCCCGGCUAACUUCGUGCCAGCCGCCGCCGUAAGAC
rnacentral:rRNA from 1 species